GACGAACGCUGGCGGCGUGCUUAACACAUGCAAGUCGAACGGUGAAGGGACCGGUUUUUGCUGGUUCUGGAUGAGUGGCGAACGGGUGAGUAACACGUGAGUAACCUGCCCCCUUCUUCUGGAUAACCGCAUGAAAGUGUGGCUAAUACGGGAUAUUCUGCGCCUGCUGCAUGGUGGGUGUGGGAAGGAUAUUGUUUCGGUGGGGGAUGGGCUCGCGGCCUAUCAGCUUGUUGGUGGGGUGAUGGCCUACCAAGGCGGUGACGGGUAGCCGGCCUGAGAGGGUGGACGGUCACACUGGGACUGAGACACGGCCCAGACUCCUACGGGAGGCAGCAGUGGGGAAUAUUGCACAAUGGGCGCAAGCCUGAUGCAGCGACGCCGCGUGAGGGAUGGAGGCCUUCGGGUUGUAAACCUCUUUCGCCAGUGAAGCAGGCCUGUCCCUUUUGUGGGUGGGUUGACGGUAGCUGGAUAAGAAGCGCCGGCUAACUACGUG
rnacentral:rRNA from 1 species